GGGGGCGAUUGGUUUCGAUCGGGAGACUGAUCUCUUAGGUUGCAAGUCGAGGCACCGCUGGCCUCGCUAAAAAGCGGUAAAACCAUAAACGCGAAGAACACUUCUUUCGCCACAGCGCGUACCUCGUA
rnacentral:tmRNA from 1 species